GUUGUUGCUUUGCUUGCCAAGGAUCAUCCUUCUGGCAUGAUGGAAGUACCUGAGGUCCAGGCAGUAUCCUUAGUACUUUUUACAGAAAACUGAUAUCAUUAACUCAAUGCCCAUGACUCUUAAACCGAGACCUUAUAAAGCAGAAUACUUUAAGUUCAAAAAUUUGAAAAGUAAUAAUAAUAAGAUAAAUGAGUACAAUAUGAAAGAAUGAAAGAGAGAAGAUUUUAGUCCUUUUGUCUGAAUCUUCACACUGAGAUCUGUAGAAUAACACAUGGAAACCAGCUUUAGUAGGUGUCAUUUUAAAUUAGCUGUGCCAGCAUUUUCAUAUUUGUCAGGGUUUGGAAGAAUUGGCUUCCAAAGUUCACUCUGCUCUCUGAUGUUCAAGUUCACUGUGAAUCUUUUUCAUUGUUUGUCGGCAAACACUGACUGGAAAUACCAGCAGAUGGUCAAAACAUUCUAGAUUUUUUUGUACUUAGAUCAGCAGCAGAAAAUACAAACUAUUUUGAGAGCGCUCUAAAAGUUCUCAAAAAAAGAGUCAAUUAAAACAUUCUUCUUAAAGACAAAAAUAACUAACAUUGUCUUUUCAUUAUUUUGCAUCUGGACAAAAUGUUUUUUAAAUUACCUGCAUGGGAACAAAAUAAAGCAAAUGUUAUUACUACAGAAUACAACCUAACAGCUUUCAUUUUUUUUUAGCAAGCUCAGUAUGCUGCUGUAUUAUUCUGUCUUCCAAAUUCAUGAUGAUGACAUUUCUGACCCAGCAGCCAAAUUCAUAUUCUUUUCCAGAUCUGGCCAAUCUCAUAAACAGAGAUCUUAGGUACUUCAAAGUGAGCUCCAUCCUUACAAAGCACACAGAAGAAUGCCAAGAAGCUUAGUAUCAAACCUCAGAAGCAAAAAUAAAUGUGAAAAAUCAAUGCUAGCUAGCUCAGAAUCUGAAUUUUAUUUUUGUCAAUGCAGAAUUCCAUCAGAAAACUUCUGAUUAGUGUCUGGCAAAUUAUUCCAUCAAAUAUAAAGGCAGGAGAAUUAUAGAGAUUUCUCACACUUUUAAAAGUAACAAUCUGAGAUACCACUUACUGUUGACAGUGUGCCAAAAGUUAAGAAAAUUCAAGCAUGACAUUGGCCAGGUUGUGAGAUUUUCCUUUGGGCCAAGCAUGAAUGAAGAAUAAUGUCCAAUAGUAACUGUGUGUUGUAAAUAGCUUGGCAAAAAUUCUGUGUACAUAAGAAAUAAAUGUAUAUAAGGUUUGUAGCUAGUGAAUAAAGUAUUUUCAAGUUGCGAUAAUUAUACUGAACAUUAACAGAUUUAAUACAUUCAUUACCCUUUGUAUGUAUGGUAUAUGUAACAGAUUUAAUUUAUUUUUAUUUUCCUUUAAAAUCAUU
rnacentral:lncRNA from 1 species